AGAGAAUGGGGGGCUAGAAUGCUCUCUACUCUGGGGGAAAGGCAGGGGGAUCCAGGAGCUCUGGUGGGCUCCCAUCUCUUCCCCUCACUCUCUAAUCUUUCAUGCCUACAGGCCUCAGUUUCCCUGUGUGUCAAACUAGCAAGCUGGAGCAGCGUCUCUCUAAAGAUUUUUUCUCCAGAAGCAGCCCCACAGGGACAGAGAUCUUGUCUGUCGCAUGUAUCCCAGUGCCUGGAACAUUGCUGGGCACCUGGCAUGUGCUCAGCCUGCAUGUGGGAAAUAAAUGAAGGAGUGGCGGGAAGCUAAGACAGAGCUGCUUAAAGACAGUAAAGGCUGGAAGAGAGAGAGAGACACCCAGCGAGAGAGGGAACACAAGCAGGG